rnacentral:rRNA from 1 species
UACGGGGGGGGCAAGCGUUGUUCGGAAUUACUGGGCGUAAAGGGCUCGUAGGCGGCCAACUAAGUCAUACGUGAAAUCCCUCGGCUUAACCGGGGAACUGCGUCUGAUACUGGAUGGCUUGAGAUUGGGAGAGGGAUGCGGAAUUCCAGGUGUAGCGGUGAAAUGCGUAGAUAUCUGGAGGAACACCGGUGGCGAAGGCGGCAUCCUGGACCAACACUGACGCUGAGGAAGCGAAAGCCAGGGGAGCAAACGGG